rnacentral:rRNA from 1 species
UACGAAGGGGGCUAGCGUUGUUCGGAUUUACUGGGCGUAAAGCGCACGUAGGCGGACUCUUAAGUCAGGGGUGAAAUCCUGGAGCUCAACUCCAGAACUGCCCUUGAUACUGGGAGCCUUGAGUUCGGGAGAGGUGAGUGGAACUGCGAGUGUAGAGGUGAAAUUCGUAGAUAUUCGCAAGAACACCAGUGGCGAAGGCGGCUCACUGGCCCGAUACUGACGCUGAGGUGCGAAAGCGUGGGGGAGCAAACAGG